rnacentral:rRNA from 1 species
AAAGAGCUCGUAGGCGGUUUGUUGCGUCGGCUGUGAAAACCUGAGGCUCAACCUCAGGCCUGCAGUCGAUACGAGCAGACUAGAGUGUUGCAGGGGAGACUGGAAUUCCUGGUGUAGCGGUGAAAUGCGCAGAUAUCAGGAGGAACACCGGUGGCGAAGGCGGGUCUCUGGGGCACAACUGACGCUGAGGAGCGAAAGCGUGGGGAGCGAACAGGAUUAGAUACCCUGGUAGUCCACGCCGUAAACGUUGGGCGCUAGGUGUGGGGCUCAUUCCACGAGUUCCGUGCCGCAGCUAACGCAUUAAGCGCCCCGCCUGGGGAGUACGGCCGCAAGGCUAAAACUCAAAGGAAUUGACGGGGGCCCGCACAAGCGGCGGAGCAUGUUGCUUAAUUCGAUGCAACGCGAAGAACCUUACCUAGGCUUGACAUGCACGGAAAUCCUCCAGAGAUGGUGGGUCCGUAAGGGCCGUGCACAGGUGGUGCAUGGUUGUCGUCAGCUCGUGUCGUGAGAUGUUGGGUUAAGUCCCGCAACGAGCGCAACCCUCGUUCUAUGUUGCCAGCACGUCAUGGUGGGGACUCAUAGGAGACUGCCGGGGUCAACUCGGAGGAAGGUGGGGAUGACGUCAAAUCAUCAUGCCCCUUAUGUCUAGGGCUGCAAACAUGCUACAAUGGCCGGUACAAAGGGCUGCGAUACCGUGAGGUGGAGCGAAUCCCAAAAAGCCGGUCUCAGUUCGGAUUGGGGUCUGCAACUCGACCCCAUGAAGUUGGAGUCGCU